GUGUAGUGGGUUACGGUGGUUAUGACGGGUAACGGAGAAUUAGGGUUUGAUUCCGGAGAAGGCGCAUGAGAAAUAGCGACUACUUUCAAGAAAGGCAGCAGGCGCGUAAAUUACCCAAUCCUGACACAGGGAGGUAGUGACAACAAAUAACAAUGGUUGUAUGAAAUGUAUGACUAAUUGGAAUGAGAACAAUUUAAAGCCCUUAUCGAGUAACAAUUGGAGGGUAAGUUCUGGUGCCAGCAGCCGCGGUAAUUCCAGCUCCAAUAGUGUAUACGAAUGUUGUUGCAGUUAAAACGCUCGUAGUUGGAAAUAGAUUUUGUCAAGACAGGAUAUGGAGAGAUCCAUGGAAAGUAUUGGGAAAAGAAUAAAUAUAAUAUAAACUCAGUAAAAUGAGGGAAUAUAAUUUACUUUGAAUAAAUUAGAGUGCUCCAAGCAAUCUGAAAAGAAAAUGGAAACAUUUCUCUUUUAUAUAAGAUGAUGGAAUAAUAAAGCAUGGGAUAAUAAAAAAGGAUUUGAAAGAAACAUUUUUGGUUGGUUUUGAUUUUUUUAAAUAAUGAUAAAUAGGAACGGUUGGGGGUAUUUGUAUUGAAUAGUCAGAGGUGAAAUUCAAGGAUUUGUUCAAGACAAACAUCAGCGAAAGCAUUUACCAAGGACGUUUCCAUUAAUCAAGAACGAAAGUUAGGGGAUCGAAGAUGAUCAGAUACCGUCGUAGUCCUAACCAUAAACAAUGCCGACCAAAGAUAAGAGGGUCGUAAUUUGGGCCUUGUUGGAAACGACAAGACACAAAUAAAACUCCUUUUGAAUUUUAGAGGGAAACCAGUAGUGUAUGGGUUCUGGGGGGAGUACGGUAGCAAGGCUGAAACUUGAAGGAAUUGACGGAAGGGCACCACCAGGUGUGGAACCUGCGGCUUAAUUCGACCCAACACGGGAAAACUUACCAGGUCCGGACACAGGAAGGAUUGACAGAUUGAUUUGUAUUAUUGUUGGCUCUUUCUUGAUUUCUGUGGGUGGUGGUGCAUGGCCGUUCUUAGUUCGUGGAACUGAUCUGUCUGCUUAAUUGCGUUAACGAACGAGACCUUUGUUUAUUAAUUAGUUUUAUCAUUUUUUUGUAAAAGAGAAUGGAUAAAAUUCUUUCGGAAAGGUAAAAGUUGAAUAGGAUAAGUAAUUAUUUUAAUCAAUGAAAACUGGGAAGAAAAAAUCAAUACUUCUUAAAAGGACUAUUCAUAUCCAGUGAAAGGAAGUUAAAGGCAAUAACAGGUCUGUGAUGCCCUUUAGAUGUUCUGGGC
rnacentral:rRNA from 1 species